CAGACUGCUUGGAGCUCUUUGACGUUUAUGUGCAACUGCGAUUAGUCCAGGGACCACAUCCCCUGAGUCUGGAGGACACUGAUAUAUGCCCCCAGCUGAGGUCCGAGGCAUCUGACACCAAGUCAAUGAAGUGAGGUGGGUUGUUGAAUGGAACCCCUGCCAGGACUGUCCUGCAGUGUGUCCACCACCACAGUGAGUAGGUCCAGAGAGCAGCACGUAGCUUGAAGCACCGCAACAUCCCGUUGGACUUGAGACCUAGAGCUGCCCUUGACGAGCCACUCGUUGAGGUACGGGUAGAUCUGGAUACCCCGGUGCCUGAGAUAAGCUGCUACCACCAACAUGCACUUGGUAAACACUCUUGGUGCUGUUGCCAGGCAGAAUGAGAGGACCGCAAACUGAUAGUGGUGGAGGCCGACCGUAAUCUGGAGGAAGCGUCUGUGUCCUUGAAAGAUCGCUAUUGGAAAGCCCGGCUAUCGAAGGGCAGGUCCUGCAUAGUGGACAACCCAGAGAGGAGCAGCCAGGAGGCUCACUGCAUGAAGAUAGCGGAAGCCAUGGUGCGGGCAGAAGCAUAAGCAGUGUCUGACGCCGCCUGAAGGGCCACCCUGGCUGCAGUCGUGCCCUCAUUGAGGAUCACUCGGAAUUCCUUGGAAGCCUCGGGGAGCGACCCUUCGAACUUGGCCAUGGCUUGCCACAUGUUGAAGUAAUAUCA